AAAAAAAUAAAGAAAAAUGUAUUUCUUCCUUGUUUUCAAAGAGAUUGAAUUCAGUAUAAUUGAAUAGUAACAUUAUUGAUGAUGUACUAGUGCCAGGUGCACCUUUACCAGGUGUUAAAGAGGCAAAGAAGAACAGGAUGUGAUUCCUGUCUCUUGGACAUGGUGCCCAGAGGAGCCCAGUGCUAAAUACCAAUAGUCCAGGAUGCUCUUAACAGACUCAAAAACACUGAAGGGGCAGAAGAGGAAAUCAUGGAGUUCUAUCUGUGAGUCUGGAGCUGUCACCAUGUCCGUCUGAACCGUGUCUUCAAAGACGUUCUUCUAGGCAGGGAAGUGGGGAAAGGCACGUGAGAGCAGACACAAGGGGGCAAAAGAAGUGAGGCAUGAAAAAGCAGGGCAGGUUUGUGCAUGGAGCGUGUACCCAGCACAGGGCCAUGGCCAUCUUACCACAGCCUUCUAUUGAGCUAACAAGUUGGUUUUCAAAAACACAGGUGUGUGCAUAGGUUGCUGCUUCCAAAAGAUCAACCUGACAGCCAAGAUUGAGGAUGCGUUCCAAGGAAAGACUCCCCUUCUUAGGAUGUUGCAUUAGGUUUAUUUUUUCAGUGCUACUGAAGAGCUGCCCACAUCUGAUGAUUUCUCCACAGUACGCAAUUUGUUGCUCCAAGUAGACUACGUGAUUUUUCGAAUCUUCAUCCACUCAUAAAAUCCUCUUCUGUUGAUGAAAGCGGACAUUAGAGCUCAGGGUGGCAGUUGCUGU
rnacentral:lncRNA from 1 species